UCUCUGGUGGUCUAGUGGUUAGGACUUGGCACUUUCACUGCUGUGACCUGGGUUCAGUCCUUGGUCUGGGAA
rnacentral:tRNA from 1 species